GACGAACGCUGGCGGCGUGCUUAACACAUGCAAGUCGAACGAAGAGCGAUGGAAGCUUGCUUCUAUCAAUCUUAGUGGCGAACGAGUGAGUAACGCGUAAUCAACCUGCCCUUCAGAGGGGGACAACAGUUGGAAACGACUGCUAAUACCGCAUACGAUCCAAUCUCGGCAUCGAGACUGGAUGAAAGGUGGCCUCUAUUUAUAAGCUAUCACUGAAGGAGGGGAUUGCGUCUGAUUAGCUAGUUGGAGGGGUAACGGCCCACCAAGGCGAUGAUCAGUAGCCGGUCUGAGAGGAUGAACGGCCACAUUGGGACUGAGACACGGCCCAGACUCCUACGGGAGGCAGCAGUGGGGAAUCUUCCGCAAUGGACGAAAGUCUGACGGAGCAACGCCGCGUGAGUGAUGACGGCCUUCGGGUUGUAAAGCUCUGUUAAUCGAGACGAAUGGUUCUUGUGCGAAUAG
rnacentral:rRNA from 1 species